UUCUGGGGACAUUUGGAGUCUCAGUGCCUAAGACCUUCAAAGCUGGGUAUUGUGUCAAGUUCUAUUUUUCUUUCCUUCACUUCUGGUGUUACUGGUCACCACUUCAGUGAAGAUGUUCCUGAAUGUGGUUAGCAUGUGAUUCAGAAGACUAAGCAAAUAUGCCCUCCCUAUGUGGGCAUUUUAGACCUUGAGUAUUUAAACCAGCACCUUGAAUGUGGAGUAACCAAGUAUCCAGUGCACACAGAUGCCAGCAUUCCUAACUUGCCUGAAUGAAUUUCCUCAGAUUAUCCCCAACAUCAUGAAGACACCCACGCCUGUAAUAAUGAAAUCACACAUAAACGUGGCUCUCAGCCUCUGGAAGAACAAGGACCCACAGUUCCCUGGAGUUGCAUGGUGGCCUUUGGAAGUACAGGGCCUGGAGUAGUGUCUUUGGGGAUUUCAGCAGCAACUUCAACUCUUGCACCACGUGGUAUUUCCACAAGAAUCCAUGAAAUGACAGAAAAUACAGCAGAACU